rnacentral:rRNA from 1 species
GAGUUUGAUCCUGGCUCAGGAUGAACGCUAGCUACAGGCUUAACACAUGCAAGUCGAGGGGCAGCAGGACGGUAGCUUGCUACUGUCGCUGGCGACCGGCGCACGGGUGAGUAACGCGUAUCCAACCUUCCCCUGAGUAGGGAAUAGCCCGGCGAAAGUCGGAUUAAUGCCCUAUGUUGUCCGACGAUAGCAUUUGAAUUGGAUGAAAGAUUUAUCGCUCAGGGAUGGGGAUGCGUCUGAUUAGGUUGCAGGCGGGGUAACGGCCCACCUGGCCGACGAUCAGUAGGGGUUCUGAGAGGAAGGUCCCCCACAUUGGAACUGAGACACGGUCCAAACUCCUACGGGAGGCAGCAGUGAGGAAUAUUGGUCAAUGGGCGAGAGCCUGAACCAGCCAAGUAGCGUGCAGGAUGACGGCCCUAUGGGUUGUAAACUGCUUUUAUGCGGGGAUAAAGUUCACUACGUGUAGUGUUUUGUAGGUACCGCAUGAAUAAGGACCGGCUAAUUCCGUGCCAGCAGCCGCGGUAAUACGGAAGGUCCGGGCGUUAUCCGGAUUUAUUGGGUUUAAAGGGAGCGCAGGCCGCCGAUUAAGCGUGACGUGAAAUGUCCCGGCUCAACCGGGGAGUUGCGUCGCGAACUGGUUGGCUUGAGUGCGGACGAGGUAUGCGGAAUUCGUGGUGUAGCGGUGAAAUGCUUAGAUAUCACGAAGAACCCCGAUUGCGAAGGCAGCGUACCAGGCCGUAACUGACGCUAAUGCUCGAAGGUGCGGGUAUCGAACAGGAUUAGAUACCCUGGUAGUCCGCACGGUAAACGAUGGAUGCCCGCUGUUUGCGAUAUAGUGUAAGCGGCCCAAGCGAAA